GGCUAACUACGUGCCAGCAGCCGCGGUAAUACGUAGGUCCCGAGCGUUAUCCGGAAUUAUUGGGCGUAAAGGGCACGUAGGCGGACAAAUAAGUUUGAUGUCAAAUAUGAUGGCUCAACCAUCAAGAGGCGUUGAAAACUGUUUAUCUAGAAUCUCGGAGAGGUAAGUGGAAUUCCAUGUGUAGCGGUGGAAUGCGUAGAUAUAUGGAGGAACACCAAUGGCGAAGGCAGCUUACUGGACGAAGAUUGACGCUGAGGUGCGAAAGCGUGGGUAGCAAACAGGAUUAGAUACCCUGGUAG
rnacentral:rRNA from 1 species